GGCGUACGGCCAUACUACCGGGAAUACACCUGAACCCGUUCGAUUUCAGAAGUUAAGCCUGGUCAGGCCCAGUUAGUACUGAGGUGGGCGACCACUUGGGAACACUGGGUGCUGUACGCUU
rnacentral:rRNA from 1 species